UACGUAGGGUGCAAGCGUUGUCCGGAAUUAUUGGGCGUAAAGCGCGUGUAGGCGGCUUGGCAAGUCGGGUGUGAAAGCCCUGGGCUUAACCUAGGAAGUGCACUCGAAACUGCCGAGCUUGAGUUCUGGAGAGGAAGGCGGAAUUCUCGGUGUAGAGGUGAAAUUCGUAGAUAUCGAGAGGAACACCGGUGGCGAAGGCGGCCUUCUGGACAGCAACUGACGCUGAGACGCGAAAGCGUGGGGAGCAAACAGG
rnacentral:rRNA from 1 species